CAAAGGAGCAAUCCGCUGAAAGAUGGGCUCGCGUCCGAUUAGGUAGUUGGCGGGGCAACGGCCCACCAAGCCGACGAUCGGUAGCCGGACUGAGAGGUUGAACGGCCACAUUGGGACUGAGACACGGCCCAGACUCCUACGGGAGGCAGCAGUGAGGGAUAUUGGUCAAUGGGGGAAACCCUGAACCAGCAACGCCGCGUGAGGGAAGACGGUUUUCGGAUUGUAAACCUCUGUCCUCUGUGAAGAUGAUGACGGUAGCAGAGGAGGAAGCUCCGGCUAACUACGUGCCAGCAGCCGCGGUAAUACGUAGGGAGCAAGCGUUGUCCGGAUUUACUGGGUGUAAAGGGUGCGUAGGCGGCUUUGCAAGUCAGAAGUGAAAUCCAUGGGCUUAACCCAUGAACUGCUUUUGAAACUGCAGAGCUUGAGUGGAGUAGAGGUAGGCGGAAUUCCCGGUGUAGCGGUGAAAUGCGUAGAGAUCGGGAGGAACACCAGUGGCGAAGGCGGCCUGCUGGGCUCUAACUGACGCUGAGGCACGAAAGCGUGGGUAGCAAACAGGAUUAGAUACCCUGGUAGCCCACGCUGUAAACGAUGAUUACUAGGUGUGGGUGGACUGACCCCAUCC
rnacentral:rRNA from 1 species